UUAAUUCCGAUAACGAACGAGACUCUAGCCUACUAAAUAGUUCGCGGAUCGAACGAGUUUGAUCGUCCGCGCAACUUCUUAGGGGGACAAGUGGCGUUUAGACACGCGAGAUUGAGCAAUAACAGGUCUGUGAUGCCCUUAGAUGUUCGGGGCCGCACGCGCGCCACACUGAAGGAAUCAACGCGUCUCUGUCCUCGCCCGAAAGGGUUGGGCAACCGUUGAACCUCCUUCGUGCUAGGGAUUGGGGCUUGUAACUGUUGCCCAUGAACGAGGAAUUCCCAGUAAGCGCGAGUCAUAAGCUCGCGUUGAUUACGU
rnacentral:rRNA from 1 species